rnacentral:rRNA from 1 species
UAGGGAAUCUUCGGCAAUGGGGGCAACCCUGACCGAGCAACGCCGCGUGAGUGAAGAAGGUUUUCGGAUCGUAAAGCUCUGUUGUAAGAGAAGAACGUGUGUGAGAGUGGAAAGUUCACACAGUGACGGUAACUUACCAGAAAGGGACGGCUAACUACGUGCCAGCAGCCGCGGUAAUACGUAGGUCCCGAGCGUUGUCCGGAUUUAUUGGGCGUAAAUCGAGCGCAGGCGGUUUAAUAAGUCUGAAGUUAAAGGCAGUGGCUUAACCAUUGUUCGCUUUGGAAACUGUUAAACUUUAGUGAGGAAGAGGAGAGUGGAAUUCCAUGUGUAGCGGUGAAAUGCGUAGAUAUAUGGAGGAACACAGGUGGCGAAAGCGGCUCUCUGGUCUGUAACUGACGCUGGGGCUCGAAAGCGUGAGGAGCAAACAGG